UUUGCAUCUGAAGAAAAGAGGAUGAGAACCUCCGGGGGUGGAGGUUCGACUCGAGCGCAGCGAGAGAACGUUGCGCAGCAACGGCCCGCAGGGCGAGCCACGCAGUGGCGAGUCAUCCUCUAUCACCGACCA
rnacentral:sRNA from 1 species